GGCGAACGCUGGCGGCGUGCCUAACACAUGCAAGUUGAGCGACGAACCAGGGCUUGCCCUGGGGCAAAGCAGCGAACGGGUGAGUAACACGUGGGUAACCUACCCCGAUAACCGGGACAACCCGAGGAAACUCGGGCUAAUACCGGAUGUGCUCACUGGACUUCGGUUCAGUGCGUAAAGGAAGCUUCGGCCUCCGUAUCGGGAGGGGCCCGCGGCCCAUUAGUUUGUUGGUGAGGUAACGGCUCACCAAGACCGCGAUGGGUAGCUGGUCUGAGAGGACGAUCAGCCACACUGGGACUGAGACACGGCCCAGACUCCUACGGGAGGCAGCAGUGGGGAAUCUUGCGCAAUGCGCGAAAGCGUGACGCAGCAACGCCGCGUGGGGGAAGAAGGCCUUCGGGUUGUAAACCCCUUUCAGGAGGGACGAAGGUUCGGCGGUGAAUAGCCGUCCGGACUGACGGUACCUCCACAAGAAGCCCCGGCUAACUACGUG
rnacentral:rRNA from 1 species